AUAGGGGGGAAACAGAUAGGUAGGAAACAGAUAGGUAGGAAACAGAUAGGUAGGAAACAGAUAGGUAGGAAACAGAUAGGGGGGAAACAGAUAGGUAGGAAACAGAUAGGUAGGAAACAGAUAGGUAGGAAACAGAUAGGUAGGAAACAGAUAGGUAGGAAACAGAUAGGUAGGAAACAGAUAGGUAGGAAACAGAUAGGUAGGAAACAGAUAGGGGGGAAACAGAUAGGUAGGAAACAGAUAGGUAGGAAACAGAUAGGGGGGAAACAGAUAGGUAGGAAACAGAUAGGUAGGAAACAGAUAGGUAGGAAACAGAUAGGUAGGAAACAGAUAGGGGGGAAACAGAUAGGUGGG